CGACUUUUGCUGCAGCCGGUAUUUAUUAGAUAACAAGCCAAUAUUGUUCUGUCCUAUUGUGGAGACUCAUAAUAACUGAUCGAAUCGCAAGGCCUUUGGCCGCGAUAAGUCAUUCAAGUUUCUGCCCCAUCAGCUUUCGAUGGUAGUGUAUUGGACUACCAUGCCGUUUACGGGUAACGGAGAUUAGGCCCCAUCACCGGAGAAAAUGGGUUGGUUU
rnacentral:rRNA from 1 species